rnacentral:rRNA from 1 species
GGCCGCGGGAAUUCGAUUCAGGCCUAACACAUGCAAGUCGAGCGGUAGAGAGAAGCUUGCUUCUCUUGAGAGCGGCGGACGGGUGAGUAAUGCCUAGGAAUCUGCCUGGUAGUGGGGGAUAACGUUCGGAAACGGACGCUAAUACCGCAUACGUCCUACGGGAGAAAGCAGGGGACCUUCGGGCCUUGCGCUAUCAGAUGAGCCUAGGUCGGAUUAGCUAGUUGGUGAGGUAAUGGCUCACCAAGGCUACGAUCCGUAACUGGUCUGAGAGGAUGAUCAGUCACACUGGAACUGAGACACGGUCCAGACUCCUACGGGAGGCAGCAGUGGGGAAUAUUGGACAAUGG